GUAGGUGAACCUGCGGAAGGAUCAUUAACACGUAUCCAACGUUAAAAAACCCCGUGAACGUUAAACAUGGUUUAGGAUCACGCUACUAAAUGUACUCUGCGAAAGUGUAGAAUGCCGGACGAACGUCUACCAAUUUCCCUGCACUCGCCUGAGAAAAGCAAUGAGGAGGGACUAUUGUGACGAGGCCUUGUGUGUUGAUCGCCGUAAGGUACCACUUUUGUCUUAUUUGCAAGCAUAUGAGUGUCAGUGUCAUAUGUUUGUGGAAAGGAUUUAAGACUUCGCUACACUCACCGACCAGUGGAUUGUGGUACUUGCUGUCAUGGCACUUCGAAACCCCGAUUACUUUUGCCGCUCAACGCUUAACGGCGCGGAGUAUUAAAAAAACGUACGAACAACUGUUAACAAUGGAUAUCUUGGUUCUC
rnacentral:misc_RNA from 1 species